rnacentral:rRNA from 1 species
CAAUAGCGUAUAUUAAAGUUGUUGCAGUUAAAAAGCUCGUAGUUGGAUUUCUGGUUGAAGCGACCGGUCGGGCGUUGAUUCGUCUGCACUGGAGUCGGUUUUGGCCAUCCUCUAGGAAAGUGCGUCUGGUAUUAAGUUAUCGGGCGUAUGAUCCUGGUCUUUUACUGUGAAAAAAUUAGAGUGUUUAAAGCAGGCCUUCGCCUUGAAUACAUUAGCGUGGAAUAAUAAGAUAGGACUUUGGUCUAUUUUGUUGGUUUGCAGACCGAAGUAAUGAUUAAUAGGGAUAGUUGGGGGUAUUUAUAUUCCGAUGUCAGAGGUGAAAUUCUUAGAUUUUCGGAAGAUAAACUUAUGCGAAAGCAUUUACCAAGGAUGUUUUCAUUAA